rnacentral:rRNA from 1 species
UACGGAGGGUGCAAGCGUUGUUCGGAAUCACUGGGCGUAAAGGGCGUGUAGGCGGCCCGCUAAGUCUGAUGUGAAAUCCCCUCGCUCAACCUGGGAACUGCGUCUGAUACUGGAUGGCUUGAAUUCGGGAGAGGGAUGCAGAAUUCCAGGUGUAGCGGUGAAAUGCGUAGAUAUCUGGAGGAAUACCGGUGGCGAAGGCGGCAUCCUGGACCGACAUUGACGCUGAUGAGCGAAAGCUAGGGGAGCAAACGGGG